GAUGAAGAACGUAGCGAAAUGCGAUAAGUAAUGUGAAUUGCAGAAUUCAGUGAAUCAUCGAAUCUUUGAACGCACAUUGCGCCCUCUGGUAUUCCGGGGGGCAUGCCUGUUCGAGCGUCAUUAUAACCACUCAAGCUCUCGCUUGGUAUUGGGGUUCGCGGUUCCGCGGCCCCUAAAAUCAGUGGCGGUGCCUGUCGGCUCUACGCGUAAUAAUACUCCUCGCGAUUGAGUCCGGUAGGUCUACUUGCCAGCAACCCCCAAUUUUUACAGGUUGACCUCGGAUCAGGUAGGGAUACCCGCUGAACUUAAGCAUAUCAAUAAGCGGAGGA
rnacentral:misc_RNA from 1 species